rnacentral:misc_RNA from 1 species
GAUGAAGAACGCAGCGAAAUGCGAUAAGUAGUGUGAAUUGCAGAAUUCAGUGAAUCAUCGAAUCUUUGAACGCACAUUGCGCCCCUUGGUAUUCCAUGGGGCAUGCCUGUUCGAGCGUCAUUUGUACCUUCAAGCUUUGCUUGGUGUUGGGUGUUUGUCUCGCCUUUGCGUGUAGACUCGCCUUAAAAUAAUUGGCAGCCGGCGUAUUGAUUUCGGAGCGCAGUACAUCUCGCGCUUUGCACUCAUAACGACAGCGUCCAAAAGUACAUUUUACACUCUUGACCUCGGACCAGGUAGGGAUACCCGCUGAACUUAAGCAUAUCAAUAAGCGGAGGA